CAUAUCGGUCUGCAUCCUCGGGGCCAGGAUGUUCAAUAUUUAACAUUAAUUUCAUAGGGGUACUUCCUCCAGGCUUUCUUAAAGUCAUUCUUUGAAGGAGGGAUCUACCCUGAUUGUCUAUCUUAGAUAAAGCACUUUUUGGUUUAUAACCCCAGGCAGGCCCAGUAUUCCAUCCCGCAGCCCCCCAGUAGUUACAGUCAUAACCCCAUUGUUCAUCUACUACACAAACGUAAGGGUCUUUUGCUUGUGGUAUCUCUUUAUAAAUGGCUUGAAUCUGUGACUUAGGGAAUGGGCACUCUAC